rnacentral:lncRNA from 1 species
GAAUCUCUUCGCUGAUGUCUUUUGCUGGAAAUAUAAGGUAUUUAAUUUAUUCUCUGUCAACAUCAGAAGACAGAAGGCAUCUCACCAUGAAAGUGACCAUCUGGGUCUGGAAACUCUCUCAAGAGCACAUGUAAGUAUGCAGUGUAUGUAAAGUGAUAGUGUUCCCUAAACAAAAAAUCGGGGCAUGCAGUCUGCCAAAAAAUCAGUGCCUCUGGGGACAGAAAGACAGACUGUUUUAAAUUGGAACUUCCCCCAGAAAAUCUGGGGUAGAAGUUUCUGACAAUUGCAGUGGGGUUUCGCUGUCGUGUAUUUUGGACAAGUGACAUUUAGUGUCUGUCUCAGUGCACUGCUCACGUGCUCAAAGCAUCUGCCAACAGUUGUGUUUGUGUGAGCUUUGUGAUUAGACAG